rnacentral:rRNA from 1 species
CCUACGGGGGGCUGCAGUGAGGAAUAUUGGUCAAUGGGCGUAAGCCUGAACCAGCCAAGUCGCGUGAGGGAUGAAGGUUCUAUGGAUCGUAAACCUCUUUUAUACGGGAAUAAAGUGUGGGACGUGUCCUGUUUUGUAUGUACCUUAUGAAUAAGGAUCGGCUAACUCCGUGCCAGCAGCCGCGGUAAUACGGAGGAUCCGAGCGUUAUCCGGAUUUAUUGGGUUUAAAGGGUGCGUAGGCGGCCUUUUAAGUUAGCGGUGAAAGUCUGUGGCUCAACCAUAGAAUUGCCGUUGAAACUGGAGGGCUUGAGAAUGUUUGAGGCAGGCGGAAUGCGUGGUGUAGCGGUGAAAUGCUUAGAGAUCACGCAGAACCCCGAUUGCGAAGGCAGCCUGCCAAGCCAUGACUGACGCUGAUGCACGAAAGCGUGGGGAUCAAACAGGAUUAGAUACCCCAGUAGUC